rnacentral:lncRNA from 1 species
UGCAGUGCAGAUGCCCAGAGAGGGCAGUGAGGUGGUUGAAGGGGGAGAGGGAUGAGACAGAAACCUGCUUUCACUAACUUCAAUCUGUCCUUCAUUUCUUCUUUUCUGUUUUCCUUCCUUCCUUCCUUCCUUCCUUCCUUCCUUCCUUCCUUCCUCCCUUCGACUCUUUUACUACUGUUUUAUCUUCCAAAAUCUUUAAUGAUGGUAAGAAAAACUACUAACUUGACUUUGACUUUGCUAGAUAGAGGUAGUCAUAUAUAUGUUCAUCAUCUACCUUAAGCCUUUUUUCUCUAAUAUAAUUUGUAUUAAUUUUUUAAGAAUUUCACAAAUGCAUACAAUGUAUUUUUAUCAUAUUCAUCCCCUAACUCCUCCAAGAUUCUCCCUCCCAACUCAGGCCCUCUUUUAAUUUCUGCAGCCCAUAUACUCAU